rnacentral:rRNA from 1 species
UGAGGAAUUUUCUGCAAUGGGCGAAAGCCUGACAGAGCAAUACCGCGUGAGGGAUGAAUGCCUAAGGGUUGUAAACCUCUUUUGUCAAGGAGGAAGUUCUGACGUUACUUGACGAAUAAGCAUCGGCUAACUCCGUGCCAGCAGCCGCGGUAAGACGGAGGAUGCAAGUGUUAUCCGGAAUCACUGGGCGUAAAGCGUCUGUAGGUGGUUAAAGAAGUCGACUGUUAAAUCUUAGAGCUUAACUUUAAAUCAGCAUUCGAAACCAUUUAACUUGAGUAUGGUAGAGGUAAAGGGAAUUCUCAGUGGAGCGGUGAAAUGCGCAGAUAUUGGGAAGACCACCGAUGGCGAAGGCACUUUACUGGGCCAUUACUGACACUGAGAGACGAAAGCUAGGGGAGCAAAUGGGAUUAGAUACCCCGGUAGUCC